rnacentral:rRNA from 1 species
UACAGAGGUCUCGAGCGUUGUUCGGAUUCAUUGGGCGUAAAGGGUGCGUAGGUGGCGCUGUAAGUCGGGUGUGAAAUCCUGAGGCUUAACCUCGGAACUGCAUUCGAUACUGCGGCGCUUGAGGACUGGAGAGGAGACUGGAAUUUACGGUGUAGCAGUGAAAUGCGUAGAGAUCGUAAGGAAGACCAGUGGCGAAGGCGGGUCUCUGGACAGUUCCUGACACUGAGGCACGAAGGCCAGGGGAGCAAACGGG